rnacentral:rRNA from 1 species
GACAGGUGCUGCAUGGCUGUCGUCAGCUCGUGUUGUGAAAUGUUGGGUUAAGUCUCGCAACGAGCGCAACCCCUAUCUUUAGUUGCCAGCAUUAAGUUGGGCACUCUAGAGAGACUGCCCGGGUUAACCGGGAGGAAGGUGGGGAUGACGUCAAGUCCUCAUGGCCCUUAUGCCUAGGGCUACACACGUAAUACAAUGGUACAUACAGAGGGAUGCGAUCUGGUGACAGUAAGCAAAUCUCAAAAAGUGUAUCUCAGUCCGGAUUGGAGUCUGCAACUCGACUCCAUGAAGUUGGAAUCGCUAGUA